AAUCAACGCUGGCGGCGUGCCUCAGACAUGCAAGUCGAACGCGAAAGUUCCCUUCGGGGAGCAAGUAGAGUGGCGCACGGGUGAGUAACACGUAGGUAAUUUGCCUUCGGGUGGGGAAUAACAGUCGGAAACGACUGCUAAUACCGCAUAAUGCAGCGGCUCGACAUCGAGACAGUUGUUAAAGCGGGGGAGUCCUUCGGGACCUCGCGCCUGAAGAGAAGCCUGCGGCAGAUUAGCUAGUUGGUGAGGUAAUGGCCCACCAAGGCUACGAUCUGUAACCGGCCUGAGAGGGCGGUCGGUCACACUGACACUGACAUACGGGUCAGACUCCUACGGAGGCAGCAGUCGGGAAUUUUGGGCAAUGGGCGCAAGCCUGACCCAGCAACGCCGCGUGAAGGAUGUAAAUUUUUCGGUAAUGUAAACUUCGCAAGAACGGGAAGAAUAAGUUCA
rnacentral:rRNA from 1 species